rnacentral:rRNA from 1 species
GAUCCUGGCUCAGGAUGAACGCUAGCUACAGGCUUAACACAUGCAAGUCGAGGGGCAGCAUGGUCUUAGCUUGCUAAGGCCGAUGGCGACCGGCGCACGGGUGAGUAACGCGUAUCCAACCUGCCUUACACUCUUGGACAGCCUUCUGAAAGGGAGAUUAAUACAAGAUGUUAUCAUGAGUAAGCAUUUUCGCAUGAUUAAAGGUUUACGUGUAGA